rnacentral:lncRNA from 1 species
GGUUCUACCAACUGCAUUUGAUGUAUGGCUGGCUGCAGUUCUUUGAAAGAUGCUCAACUAAUCAUUUUGUGGGAAAAACAUUUAAAAAAUUGGUAUGCAUCUAUAGAUAUUGUUGCUCAUAGAUAAUGGCAUUACCAUAUUGCCUUGAGAAAUGGUGCUUUCCUAUUGAAAAAUUCCUGAAAAAAGACCAAUAUAUCUGAGGAACUUUUAGAAAUUAGUUUACAUGCUAUAAGUUCUUCAGCAAUGAAGCUUGACAGCUAGCUCUGUACUCAAGAAUUUCUUAGCCAUUUUGUUCUACUUAUUUAAGCCUAAUAUCAAGAAAAAUGAACCAUGAAAUCUAUAAAUUUUUACACAUAGAAAAACCAAAUAAGGUCAACCCGUGAAAUUAGUUACGGUGCAUAAAAGCAAGCUGACACGGACAUCACGAUUAUUUUUAAAACUAUAUAACAAACAAUUACAUCAUUUUUCUUGAUUCCACAGUUGUAUCUAGUCUAGAAUGUAGAUAUGUUCAAGGAGUUGGUAUGACUUUUCAAAACACUAUUGACAUAGUAUGUUCUGUCAUGGAACGCUUUUGAACUUAUUUUUUAAUAAUAAUCUAUAUUAAAAUCAACAAAUAAAUUUGACGAAAAUAAUCUCAAAAACUAAACUUUAGGCAAAGUAACUUGUGUGUGAUAACAUCACAAAUGGAGAUUGACAAAAUUUAUGCAACAACAAUAAUCUCGAGUGAAUGACUUCGCAUAUGCUACUUCAAAUGAGCCGACUUUGAAAGCUCACACCGCAUUCUUCACAAAUAUUCAUUUUUUACCCCUAUUAUCGAAUUUUGAAUCUCAAUUACAAUACAAUGUUUUUAGCUAUUAAUUUUUAAUUGCAUUCUUCAAUUUCUCUUGUUCGAGAACAAGCAAUAAUGAAGACCGAAAGGAAGAAAAUUAAUGUGACAGAACAAUAAUAGUAAGAGAUAGAACAAUAACAGUAGCAGACAUGAAUUUAACCCAUAAAAUUGAAAUUGUGAACGCUACCAGAAUAAGAUUGUGAAAAUAUUGAGAGAAAAAAACUAAUUUGAUUUUGCAGUACCGUAUGAAAAAUCAAAGAGAACAUAGAAGAGAGUGUUGGGUAGAACAAUAACCACAACAACUAUGAAUUUUAAGUUAUGAUAUUGGAAAUUUAAUCUUUUCUAAAAGAAGAUCAGGGCAAAUAUUGAGGCAAAAGCUGACCUAAGAAUGCACGUUCAGAUACGAAGACGAAGCUAAUGAGUAGGCCUUUGAAUUUAAGUUUGGAUGAAAGAAAAUUAUGGACACUUGGGAGGAGUCUUCUAGAAAUUCUCCAUUGUUGGAACAAAGAAAUGAAACGACCGAGUGUUCUAGAAAGGCCAAGAAAAAGCUGAUUCUUUCUUUUGUCUUUGAGCAAAAUGACGAAUUUACCCUUGAUCGUUCUUUUGAUGGCGUUUCUGUUUUGCAAUGAAAGAUUUGUCAAGAAAGUGUAAGAGCAGUGUAUCUUCACUUCUAGCAUUCUAUUUUCAUGAAAGUGCGCAUUAAAUAAUGCAUUCUACAACAUACAAAUACAUAAAUGAUGAGUUAAAUUAACAACAAAACCACAAGAAACAAGGCCACAUCGUGUAAGAAAAUUUUAAUUGAGAUCAGUAAACAAACAUGAUUACAACAAUAACAUGAAAAUCAAAAUAAAACCAAAAUCACCUUAGCAUCCUCAACUGUAGCAACGGUGACAUAGCCGAAUCCACGAGAGCUAGCAAGAUAGAGGACAUGAAAAUUUUCAUCUAAGUUUUAACAGACAACACAAUCAUAAAUAAAAGGUGGGUGAAGGUAACUCUGCAAAUACAACAUUUAUCAAUAGUCAAUACACCAAUAAAAGGGUAAAAAAUUUCAAAUGUAACCCAUCAAAAAAAUAAGGUAAAAUAAUCGAAGCAGACAAAAAAUUGCAGAAGAAAUUAAGAAAAAACAGAAUAGGAAAGAAAUCACAAACACAAUGCUUUGAUGUAGCGAA